UGCAGUCGAGCGGAACGAGAAGUACUUGUACUUCGGCGUCGAGCGGCGGACGGGUGAGUAAUGCUUGGGAAUAUGCCUUAUGGUGGGGGACAACAGUUGGAAACGACUGCUAAUACCGCAUAAUGUCUACGGACCAAAGCGGGGGACCUUCGGGCCUCGUGCCAUUUGAUUAGCCCAAGUGAGAUUAGCUAGUUGGUGGGGUAAUGGCCUACCAAGGCGACGAUCUCUAGCUGGUUUGAGAGGAUGAUCAGCCACACUGGGACUGAGACACGGCCCAGACUCCUACGGGAGGCAGCAGUGGGGAAUAUUGCACAAUGGGCGAAAGCCUGAUGCAGCCAUGCCGCGUGUGUGAAGAAGGCCUUCGGGUUGUAAAGCACUUUCAGUUGUGAGGAAAGGGUGUUGCUUAAUACCUAACAUCUGUGACGUUAGCAACAGAAGAAGCACCGGCUAACUCCGUGCCAGCAGCCGCGGUAAUACGGAGGGUGCGAGCGUUAAUCGGAAUUACUGGGCGUAAAGCGUGCGUAGGCGGUUUGUUAAGCAAGAUGUGAAAGCCCCGGGCUCAACCUGGGAACUGCAUUUUGAACUGGCAGGCUAGAGUUUUGUAGAGGGUGGUGGAAUUUCCAGUGUAGCGGUGAAAUGCGUAGAGAUUGGAAGGAACAUCAGUGGCGAAGGCGGCCACCUGGACAAAAACUGACGCUGAGGCACGAAAGCGUGGGGAGCAAACAGGAUUAGAUACCCUGGUAGUCCACGCCGUAAACGAUGUCAACUAGCCGUCUGUAUCCUUGAGAUGUGGGUGGCGCAGCUAACGCGCUAAGUUGACCGCCUGGGGAGUACGGCCGCAAGGUUAAAACUCAAAUGAAUUGACGGGGGCCCGCACAAGCGGUGGAGCAUGUGGGUUUAAUUCGAUGCAACGCGAAGAACCUUACCAUCCCUUGACAUCCAGAAAAAUUCGCUAGAGAUAGCUUAAUGCCUUCGGGAAACUCUGUGACAGGUGCUGCAUG
rnacentral:rRNA from 1 species